GUGAAAUUUUAAUAGACUUAGUGGCGGACGGGUGAGUAACGCGUGGAUAACCUGCCUUAUACAGGGGGAUAACGGAGAGAAAUUUCCGCUAAGACCGCAUAAGACCACAGCACCGCAUGGUGCAGGGGUAAAAUAUUUAUAGGUAUAAGAUGGAUCCGCGUCCGAUUAGCUAGUUGGUGAGGUAAAGGCCCACCAAGGCGACGAUCGGUAGCCGGCCUGAGAGGGUGAACGGCCACAUUGGGACUGAGACACGGCCCAAACUCCUACGGGAGGCAGCAG
rnacentral:rRNA from 2 species